GAUUAGUGAUUUGAUGAGAAUCCAGUACAAGUUGUUUUGGUUAAAGCGCAGACAUAGCAGUGUCUCAUGUCCUGAACCUGCUUAAAGGAAGUAAUACAAUGUAGCAUCUGGAAUAAAACGGUUUAGUAUCUCUAAAAAUAAACAUGUAAAGUUUCCUUGAACAACUGUGUAAGUGGGACCAGAUUAUCAGAAAAAAACUGGAGGAAAACUGUGUUCACGGGCUCCUAUGUUUACAGCUACUUUCUUUAAGCAUUUUCAAAUAGUGUAUGAUAGGGUAUUUAUAUAAGGUAGUAAAUGGUAGGGUAUAAAACACCAUCAUGUCCUACUCUAAGUAGAGCACAGGGUGCAUAGCUCCAGAGUCCCAGGUUUGAUCCUCAGAUCGGGUUACUGUCUGUGUGGAGUAAUCUGUAUUGUUCUUCCUGUGUCCUUGUGGGUUUCCUCCCACCUCCCAAAAACAUGUCGGUAGGUGGACUGGUAAAACAAAAUGCCCCUAGGUGUGAAUGAGUGUGUGUGCAUGGACUGGCAUCCUGUUCAGGGUGUAUCUCAUGCCCGGCCUAGGCUAUAGAUUCACCAUGUCCCUGACCAUGGCUUUUUUUUUUUUUUCUGUUUACUGAAAGUCAGUGAGUAAGAGUUGGUAAUAUCUAAAUGAAUUGCAAAAACUUUUGGGAAUUUACAACUGCCCUUCCAGUAAAACUUCAUGGUAAUUGACACUAUUUCCCCAUUUUGUUGGUGCUGUUUCUCAGAGGCACCCCAUGACCUGCAGGGUCUGAACCAAUGAUUCAUGUGAGUUCAGGGCUGAAGGGAAAGCUUAGGCCCCAGGCCUGCUGGCAGGCACCAUUUAUUCCUGUGUGUUCCAGCGGUGACACACAGAGUAAGCAGGAGAGCGUACAUUAAAACCACAGAAACCACUCACUCCCAUCAACCACAAGAAAGGAACUUGAAGCGCUCCAAGAGAUGUCUACAACUGAAAGAGUUGGCUCAGCGUCUUGGAAAAUAUUAGCAAAACGUUCACCAUUUCUAUGAAAAUAUUCCAGACAUGUUGAUGCUAAGAGCACCUUCUGAACAGUUACACUCACCUCUGCCCAGGUCGAUCUCUGUACAGCGGCGCUCUGGGUUGCUGUGUAUACGGCACUUAAAUACAGCUCCAGGAGAGUGAACAGAGUUACUGAAGGAUGAAUUUGCCCGAGGAGCCCCAACCAGAAUCCUGUACACAGGAACAUGAGCUAUGACUUCUUACAGUCCACUGACCACAUGUGUGCAGUUAAACAUUGUAGCUGAAAACAUCAUUCACACUUCUGAAUUCUCACUUCUUAAACAGAUCGUUUACAGCCUGCAACUCGUACACGAAUGUUGGAAACAUUUCGUUUCAGCAUCCAUAUCCAAGUGAAUAGUCCCAGGAGCUGCUGUGAAAACGCGUUGCAGGUCUGUGUGCUUUGUGUAAGUGUGCAUGUUGGUGCAACUUCACGGCUCUGAUGUGAACCCUAUGCGCGAUCACUCGUGCACAGAGCGCAUGAAGUGCACCGUUACAUCCAGGCCACUCACCAUCGUG